rnacentral:ncRNA from 2 species
UAGUAUGCGCUUCAAGCUGGUGCUAUCUGGAAGUAUAGAUGGCUGAAAAGGGAAUCCGGUGUGAAUCCGGAACUGACGCGCAGCGGUAAUAGAGAACGAAAGCUUAAUAAGACACUGCACUAGGAAUCGUGUGGGAAGUCGAGUGAGUAGGUUAACAGCUCUUGAGUCCGAAUACCUGCCAGCAGCUAGGCCUUGUA